rnacentral:tmRNA from 1 species
GGCGUAAAGGUAGAUGCCAGUAUUACGCAGAGUUCGUUUCACUCUAAAAAGCCGAAAACUUUUGAAAUUGCCCAAGACCGAAAGGAAGACGAAUUGCCCGAGGAGGAAAUUGAAAAACAAGAGCAUUUUUUCAAGGAAGUAGCUGAAGAUGGGGUAGAUAAGGAAGCGAGAUGUCUCUGAAAAGCCCUUGUUGACGGCGGUUCGUACAGAGGCACCAUAAAAGUCAACAUUGAAUCGGAUGAUGGUUUCCGCUGAAGAUUCGGAUUUCAGGAAACUAAGCGUGUUGUGGGCGGUUUUUGGUCAGCAACCCGACGAAAAUCAAACAAAAACUAAGUAUGUAGAAAGCCUUUGAAUUGCUUAUUUGGACGAGAGUUCGAUUCUCUCCGACUCCACA